rnacentral:rRNA from 1 species
UAAUACGGAGGGUCCAAGCGUUAUCCGGAUUUAUUGGGUUUAAAGGGUCCGUAGGCGGGAAAAUAAGUCAGUGGUGAAAGCCUGCAGCUCAACUGCAGAACUGCCAUUGAAACUGUUUUUCUUGAAUAUAGAUGAAGUGGGCGGAAUAUAUCAUGUAGCGGUGAAAUGCAUAGAUAUGAUAUAGAACACCGAUUGCGAAGGCAGCUCACUAAACUAUUAUUGACGCUGAGGGACGAAAGUGUGGGGAGCGAACAGGAUUAGAUACCCUGGUAGUCCACACCGUAAACGAUGAUUACUCGGUGCUAGCGAUAUACUGUUAGUGCCUAAGCGAAAGCGAUAAGUAAUCCACCUGGGGAGUGCGGUCGCAAGAUUG